AUUCUUUUAGUAUAGACUAGUACAGCCGACUUCCAAUCAGCUAGCCUUGGAUAGAUCCAGGAAAGAAUA
rnacentral:tRNA from 2 species